AAAGUGCGAAAAGUGUCAUGACUUGCAGAUUCCCGAGAGCUGACAAAUCUCUGAAUGCAAAUGGCAGCCGGCGCUCAGAUCCGGCUAUGGGUUGUAGAGUGUAGAUGCUCUUGCUCUUCAUCUUAUAUAUACAUUCUUUGUGUAUGUAAGGACCUGCGCUUGCGUUAUCAUGAUCUCUUUGUGAUGAUGCGAGUGUUAAAUGUAGAAAGGAACCCCUUCCUCGCAAGAGGUAGGGGACAUACCGAUGAUCUCACAUACUUUGUGUAACAAUCGACUAUGUUUGACAGCCUUUUCACCAUUUUCUGAGCCACCUCUACAAUGCAUGAUAACCCGCUGAACUUAA
rnacentral:misc_RNA from 1 species